rnacentral:rRNA from 1 species
GUAGGUGAACCCUGCGGAGGGAUCAUUACCGAG